AUCCAACCCUGAUCAGACAGCUGAGCCAGAAACCACUAAGAUCAGUUGGAACUGUUGCACUUUCUGGCAGUUGAUUGGCAGUUGUUUUCAGUUCAACUGAAGUGCCCUCCGUGUCUGGAAUGAGAGUCCCUGUCUAGUUGUUUUGAACGUGCCGCACUGAGAUCGGUGAGCAUAUUUUGUACCUUUCAUUUGGUUUUUGUUCUUUUAUCUUGUUGUCAAAUAAUGAUCUUUAUUUGACCUACUUAGUUAUUAAAACGUGAACCUUUGCUGAGUUUGUGUAAAAUGUAAUGUUUUAUUAUUGUUCUUGGAAAAGGAUUUUUCGAACAGUUAUGAAACAUAAUAAACUAGAAUGGUUU